ensembl:lncRNA
CAUGGAGGUUGGGGGAGGGACUGGGUGACAGGAACAGUAAAACAGUUGAGCUUUAUCAGCACAGCAGUUUGAUUAUUAACAGAAUGACGUCCUUCAGACUAACUGCUUUUGGAGUUUCAAUAGAGUCUAGCACAAUCCUAAGAGAACAGACACUUGAGAGCUUCAGAGAACCUGUCAGCUUCUGGAAAAUGUGAGAAUGGGACUGGGGACUGAGAACUGAACAGAUGGAUUUCUUGUGUCCUCAGGGACAGUUGAGGAGUGGCUAAGGGACAACUCCUUUGGACACUGAGGUAAGGUGGAUCAUGAAUGGAUGUUGAUGAGUGUUGAUGAGUUGUGGGUUCAUAGAGAUAUAGUUACAGACUUCAUCAAGUGUAUAAUGAGAUAAAACAAUGUUGUGUAUUUUCUGUUGGCCAUCAGAGUCAGAGUCAGUGUGUUUAUUAUAAGUGCUCCGUACGGCGCCAUACUGGGAACAAUUAGUUUAAUUCUGUUUUUGACCACGUCCUCUCAGACAUUAUAAACUAUAGUUUAAUUCAGUUUUUGACCACGCCUUCUCAGACAUUAUAAACUAUAGUUUAAUUUAGUUUGUGACCACGUCCUCUCGGACAUUUUAAACUAUAGUUUAAUUCAGUUUUUGACCACGCCCUCUCAGACAUUAUAAACUAUAGUUUAAUUCUGUUUGUGACGACGCCCUCUCGGACAUUAUGAACUAUAGUUUAAUUCUGUUUGACCACGUCCUCUCAGACAUUAUAAACUAUAGUUUAAUUCUGUGUUUGACCACGUCCUCUCAGACAUUAUAAACUAUAGUUUAAUUCUGUUUGACCACGUCCUCUCAGACAUUAUAAACUAUAGUUUAAUUCUGUUUUUGACCACGUCCUCUCAGACAUUUUAAACUAGAUUAGUUAAUCAGUCACCUCAUCAGCCCAGUCCAAAGGUCAACUAAAGCUUUACUUUAGACGCUCCAUUUUGUUUUCAUUGGGAAGGCUGCCUUUCAGCGACAGAAAAACAAAGUAACCAAGAUAUGUUGACGAAAGAUCUCUGAAAGCGUCAGCAUGCAGCAUAAGUUUGAAUGGGUAUGACAGCACUGCAAUUAUUAAAUAUACGAAAUAAAUCAGCCAAUCUCGAGUGACGCGUCUAAAUGGUGGUGCUACAAUUAAAAUGGGAGUAGGCCUACACAGCCUUCAGAAAACUUUUUUGUAUUGACUGUCUUGAAUAAUAUUAGCAUGAAUUUUGACUAAGUCACACUCAUGCUGCAAUGAAGCAGUGAAGCAGUGAUGUUGUUGAUGACCUUGGCCUUGCAAAAUGUCCAUAUUCAUGAACCAUGGAGCAUAAACAUUUUACUCCACAUCCAUUCAAUUUACCCACUCAAUUGUGACAUCUAUUGUUAGAGGCAAACCGAUAUAUGAACACUGUCUUCAGAUACUUGGCCUGGAUUUACUUAUUUCCAAGAUUCAAUGCUACCGAGAAUGUUGCCGUAAAUGCGAAGUUCAAACAUGUAAAAGUUUGACACCAAAUGCAGAGGACAGAAUGGAUCAGCAUCAGGGCUACAGCAGCCUUCUAGUGGUAUUACAGUACUUUGGUGGACUGUAUCUUGUGUUGAUGUAUGAAAUUUACUGCAUUGGAAAUACUGCAGUAAAUACGUAGCAUAUUCAAGCCUAUAUAGUGCAGUAACACGUGCAAUUUUAGCAUAUGGCUGUAAUGAAACAUAUUGCAGCAUUUUAGAAUUAUUUAUUCACUGUAAUAUUACAAACUUUAUUACUGUAGUCCAAAGAAGUGUUUGUCUGUGUGUGAUGCAACACUACAGUAAUCUAUUCCAAACUGGAGGAUACAGCAACAUUUGAUAUAUGCAAUUGGCAAUGCUUCAAGUUGUUAGUGUUUUUUAGGUCAUUGUACUCUGAGAGAGAACAUGUGCUAAAGUUACGGCAGCAUGAGUUGUGUUUUGGUGGUUGUAGUGCAUUUUGCACCUAAGGUUAACUGAUAUGCGGAGGUGUGUGUCUGUAAAGCCCACUGUGUGAAGUGUUUUGGGAAAAGUGUUCAUGGUAUUGAGACAAGAGUUAAAAUGAUUGGAAAAAACUGUAAGGUUCAGAAACUAGGGUGACAAUGUGACUGAAUAAAUUAUUCAUUCAUUCAUUCAUUCAUUUAUUUGCCAUGGACGUUACAGCAGCAUUAGAACUGAAACAUUCAACUAUGCAUAAGCACCAGAUGCCCUGUGUUUAGUGUUUGUAGCGAAACGGCUUAUUUACAACACCUGUCCACGGGAGGCUUUUUAAAAGAAGAAAAGGAUAAGAAAGGAAAACAAGAAGAAUAAAAUAUAAUACAGGUAUACAAAUACAACCUAAUAAAAACACAGGUGUGUCUAUGCAAGGAUAUGAAGUGUGAGAACAACAUGAUUUAACACAUUGGAAACAGUGAAGUUGUGUUGUGGUUCAAAAAUGUAUUUUCGGACCAGCGUUCUCUGCCGAUCACCGCCGAUUACCGACGAUUACAGCGCUCACCAGCUUUCACACAACGCUCUUCUGGCGCUAUACCAGCGACCAUGGACGAUUAUCAACGUUUCCUCUAACGUCAUAGAACAUUGACCAGAACGUUAUGGUGUGACGGGGCCUUUAAGGUCACUUUUGUCCUCGUCGCCAAUAUUCCUGUGGUGUAU